rnacentral:lncRNA from 1 species
CGGCCGAGCUCGACGCCGUCUCCAUGGCGACGACGGCGCUGCUGAGGAGGCAGCGGGCUCCGAAAUGUCUUUGUUCCUAUGCAAAAGUAGCUCUUGAAAAUACUGAAGGGAGCCAAAGCUCUAGAUAGCUUAUAUUUGCCCAUAACAUGUCUGCAGUGAGCAAUUGUAUCAAGAAGGUCAAAACUUCAAGAUUGUUCUACACAUCAAACAAAAUCAGUUCAGAGCUGUGAUGGUCUAUCAGAUAUACAGACAGCUACAAAUGAAGCUGUACAGACAAUUUCUGUCUUAUACUAUCAUCCAAGAGAAACAGACCUCAAAGUGUUCCCACAGGUCAACUAAGGAGAAUGUGAUUCUCCAUAAUGUAUCUGUGAAUGACUGGAUCCCAUCUGGAAAACGCCAAGAAAACAAUUGAAUUUUGGAAUGUACCACGAAGCUGCUGGAGGAGUGCACUGAAAUGCUGAUUCUGAACAUGGCUGCACAAUGAGAGUUCUUGGCAGACAGCACUGAGGCACUAGAACCUAAAGACAUACCCCAUGAUGUCGAUGUUUAUAUUUCAACUGAAGAGACCUUUUUAGAUCCAUUAAAAAAAAGGUAAAAAAACCCCAACAAAAACGAACAACCCAAACAAAAACAAAAUGAAGAAUCCCCAGCAAAUGGCUUAAGGGUUGCAAUUAAAAAUUAUUUUCAUUCUGUCUUUUUGCAUGGUUUAACAAAACUAAUGUUUACUCAUUUACAGCUCAGUAAGAGGAUAAUGUGCUUAAUGAAAGAAAAAUCUACUGACAGCCAUGUUUAUUGCCCUUCAUUAGCAUUGGUACUUAAUUUAAUAUAGAUCUGAAUAGACAUUAGGGAGCCUGCAGGAGGUUAAAUGGUGAAAAUGUAAAGAGAUUAUUGAAUUUACUGUUUAGUUUCAGUGACAUCAAACAGACAAAAUUAAUUAAGCUUAUUCCACUAGUAAAAAUAAUCCAGAAUGUAAGAUUGGAUUCAUUAAUGUUGUUGUUUAUAAUUUUUGAACAUUUAUUCCAGCAAUAUGGAAUAUCUGCUCUAUCAUGCUGUAUUAAUUUUACAUUUUUCAGAAGGACCAUUACUAACAAUAUUCUUUUCUCCUCAUUCCCUUAUAAGUCUGCUAAUUUUGUUGUUGUUCUUUUUUAAUAAGUGAAAAACUGUUUCUGAAUCAUUUACAUUUUAAACAUUAAUAAAUCUUGGUCAUGUUUUAAUAUCAUGAAGCCCAUUCUGAGAGUUCUGCAACAAAUUUGGGGCAACAUUUUAUAAAAUCAAGUAGAGUUUGGUAUCAGAUUGAAGAUAUCAACUGGGUAUUAUAUUAAAUGAUUAAUUCAACUGGCAUUUGUGUGAAAGAACCAUUAAUUAACAGAAGUUAAUGUAUUAUUAGAAACAAAACGUUUAUUUGUGUAGAGUAUAUAUAGAUCUAGUUGCAGUGAGAAAUGCAAAUGAGAAUAAUUGUCUAAAGUUAAAUGAAAGUGUUCAAUUUGUAUAAUCUUGUAAAAGUAGAGAUGUUUUUAAAAAUGUUAGGGGUAGCAGAGGAGAAAAUCAGAAGAGAAAUAAUUUAACUAGUGAGUAUAUGUUUUAUAUAAGUUCUCUACAUAUAAUCUUCACACUCUGGAGCACGUUUAUUUUCUUAUGUACUUUUUUUAGACACAAGUAUUUUGUUUUAUUUUUCUAUAUCACCUUUAAUUAAGCUUUUGUUAUCUUGAGUGUUAAAUCUUCCAUUCUGUAUUUGCAAAUACUGAGGUGAUCUUUAAAUCCUUUGCAGAUCGGUAUUAUUUAAUGCAGACAACAUUUCAGGAAGAUAUCUAUAUAGUACUCGUAGCUGACUAUUUGUCUAAGAAAAUGACUACUGUACAGUUCUUUGUAUAUACAUAAAAAUCUAAUAUUAAUUAGUAGCGCCUUUAUGAUCUAUGUCCUGUAAUUGAAGGGAUAUGUAAAUAUUCAUGGAGGUAUUCAGGGAUGAAACUUAUGUUAGUAAGCCUGUGUCCUACAUCAUCAAUUUUAUAUGUGAUAAAUUUUUUUGGUAACGUGAAAAUUAUUCUCAUACAGAUGACUCAUUUUCUAGAAUGACUAUAGUGAAUGGUCUAUAUAUUCAGACAUAGAUAUUUUUAUUUAUUCUUGAAAAAUGUAUGAUAGAACUGAUAUUUGCACUCUGACAUUGAAAUGAUAGUAUUAUUUCAGUAAUUUUGUAUGACUAUUGCUAUAAUUUGUUACAAAAUCUUCACUGGCCUGCAUAUAGAUGAACAUUAUGAUAUAUUUUCAAAUUUGUUCUUUAUUUUAUUUCUUUCAUUUUCCUCUCUCAAGCCAAGUUCAUAACAAAAACUUCUGUGCUUUGUCUGCUAUCUUUGGCUGUGUUUCACUGUAACAUGCACUGCUGUUCUUUUAGCACCAAAAUGUUGGCACAUGUUACUGAAAAUUUCACACCAUCUCUUGCUGGAUCAGCAAGCUUAACCUACCAAAAUCUGGUGUUGUUGAAUGGUUUUUGACUGAUAAUCAAUCUUUUUGCUGCUCGACAGUUGUUGCUGGGACACAGACUAGAGCAGGUGGCAGAUGUGCCUUGUCUUUUGAGAAAAGAAAGAGUAGGUGAGCUUGGGCACAAAGUAACAUAUUGCAUGUCCAUUAAAAGGGUAAGUAUAACAGGGAAAAGUCACUGCUGUAAGUAGAAAAACCACCAAUAUCAGAAAUAGGCCUUUUUAUACUCCCAUUUACAACUUCAAUAGAGCUGGAAAAUGUCACUAAUGUAGAAUUCCACAUGCUCAGAAAUCAGAACUGACAUUAAAAGUGUUACUUCUCUAAAAAACAUUCCAUAGUACUUUUUCUGGCUUGUAUUUUUUGUUAUUUAUACAUAGUAUGAGAGUAUGAGUCAAAAAUUUAUUUUAAAUUAGCUUCAGUAUAUUGAAGAUAGAUUUCAGAAAUGUAUAAAUAUAGAGAGGCAGACAGUGUGUACUUCAUUUUUUUUUUCUCUAGCGCAAGACUAGGAACAGAGAAUAAGGUAGUAUAACUUGUCAGUGUGAACGUACUGAUUGCUGCAUUAAAAUUCUUAAUGCAUAGACAACAAGUUCAAACUUCACCAGCAAAUCUGUUUUGCAUGAUAUACUUUAAUAUCCCAGCCCUGAAAAGUGAUCACGUGGAAAUUAGACUUUUUAAAUGUACAGUACAGUUACACAUAAAUAUUUGCAAAGUCAUCAUCAUUGUUGAAAUCUGUAUUUUAAAUAUUCAACCAGUCACAAAGUGUGUCAAAGGCAUAUCAUCUUACACAUACUUUAAUUGAUUCAAGAGAUAUAAAUACCUGGAAUAAUUAGAAUUCCCAGUUAUGGCUUUUUCCAGUUGAUUUGGAUUUAUUCACCUCCUCGCCCUUCUUACAUAUUAAAAUUCAAAUUGAAAAUGAAUAAGAAUAAAUAAAUAAAGAAACUGACUAGUUUUAUCAUCUGAGAUAAAAAUUGAAAGCUAUCACUUCUGUUGAUUUAUUUAAAUGUUUAUAAUAAAUACAACUGACAUAUCACUUAAAGUGUCAUUCCAAUUAGCUAAGAAAAAAGAACCAAGUCUCAAGCAUUUUUAACAUAUUUUGGAGAGAUUAUUUUAGAACUUGUAUGUUGCAGAACUGUGCCAAAGAGUUAAUGCCCUGUGGUAUGUUAUUAUUCCAUGUAAUUUACAUAUGAUGAACAUCUGUGUUUGCAUGUAAUUCUGGUUCAUUGGAAAUAUAUUGGAGUGCAUAUACAUGUGUGUUUGUUUGAAGGCGUUUGUAUUUAUAACAGUUUCUCAACUUAAAAAAUAUUAGAUAUUCUUAUUUAUUCUUUUCAAUACCUCUUGUUUCUUCUGUCAGCUUUUAUUUUAAAACACUUGCAUCUUUGCAAUUGAAUUUCAGGUGUCCAGUAUACUGCUCCAAUUUUUCUUCAUUAGUUAUGAAAUUAAAGUGAUAAUAAGUUCUUUCCAUUUAAUUUAAUUCUAGUAACAAUAGCAGCAUUGCAUAAGAAAAUAAUCAAUUAGCUAUUGCUCUUUCAUAAAAUGUUUGUGCAUUUUGUCACUAUUGCAAAAAAUAUGGCCACGUGUAAGUUUACAUUCAGUAUUUUUUUCGGUUUAUGUGUUUACCUUGAACAUGCUUGGGAAUUACUAAAUUGGAAAUAAAGGAGUUUUGAAUGACCAAUUGAUUGUGGACUUGGACAGCAGUCCAAAACCACUUAUACUCAGAUCUAAUUCACUGUACCACUGAGAGUGAUUUCUGUAGGAGCCUUCAGAGAAGUUAAGCAUUUGUAUUUUUAUAUGACUAUACUGACUAGACAUACAACUCACCUGUCGGUAGUCUUGUUGUAUACAAUAUCUAAUUUAGCUGCACUGAUCUUAAGCUGAAUCACUUUCUACAGACAGCAUUUUGGCCAAAGUAUUUUUGUUGAUGUGCCAUGCUCAUAUAUUUUUUCUAAGUCAUAGUGACAAGGCUUCUUUGCUGAAGCAUAGUCCACUUUGCAGAUCAUAUAAGUCACUUCAUCUAAUUAAUCCAUUUUAUUACUAGGGUGUAGGGAACUGUUUAUGACCUCCAGAUUUUAUGCUGUGGAUGACUGAAUUAAAGGAAGUUUUUUGUGUUCUGUGUUUUUUUUAUUACACAGAUUGCUAUGUUACUUUAGUGGCUGGAUUAAAAGAUACUGUGUCCUGUUCUGUUCCUUUAAGGGUGUUGACAAGUAUGCAUUUAUAGCAUUUUUGGUACAAAUAUAGCAAACUGCAAGUAUCAUUCUAGUCAAGACAUUUACCAUAACAGUACAUUUUAUUUUAAUGAAUGAGAUUUUCUUGUCUCAAAAUAAAUUCACCGUUUUACAGUUUUAAAAAUAAUGUUUUGAAUAUGUUUAAAAAAUGGAAGAACUAAGAUAGUGUAUUUUAUAUUCAUUUACUAUAGUUAAUAGUGGAUGAGUGUACCUUCAUUUUAGUUUUUGUUCAACAGUAAUUUUUAUAAACAUUUAAACCUCACUUUGCAUUGUCUAAUAAUUCUGAGAAUGUAUUGCUAGUGUCUAUGAACAGAUAUGGAAACAAUGAGCUCAUAAAUGAUCACAUUUUUGCGACUUAGCCAAUGUUCUUCUGUUUAGAGUUGUAAUUGUAUAAUAUGUACGUUUCCAUUGUCAUAUUUUAAAAGUAAAACCAAACAUAAUGAAAACGAUUUUGUCUUUUAUUGAUACCCUUUGAAAAAGAGACCAGUGAAAAAAGUAAUCCAAAUUUAGUGUUCUUAAUGCUGCAUUUUGUGUCUGUAUUGAAAUAAAGAUACAUGAUUUUUUCUGUUAAAGAACAUUUAGAUGCCGUGUGAUCUACAAAAUUUAAUACUUCACCAUGACAAGUUCCAGUUGACAAGAAUGUGUGUGAGUACAUUGAAAAUAGGACUUCUUUUCUGUAAGGAUUAAAUGUCACUGAAAUGGUUGACACUUAUAGUUUUAACUACUGAUCCAUUUGGAAAUGUUUCAUUUCCAAGCAGCAUUCUAAAUAACAGUAUUCUUGCUACAAACACUUAUAGCAAGCACUUUUUCUCAUCAAAAUGUAUGAACUGGAGUUGUCACAUUUCAUUUUCAGAAAAAAUACAUUCCUCUAUGAUCUUGAAAUUAACACCUUUUAUUACAAUUUUUCUCAUAAUUACUGUAAAGUGUUAUUAUUUAAAUGCAGUUAUACUGGAUUUUGAUCUGAAAAAAAGAAUAUGCUAUAAAUUAAUCAUAAAAGUAUGCAAAAAUAUGUAUUUCAUUCCAAAUUAUGAGCUCAUUUGUCUUAUUGUAUAGGUUGAAGAUUUCAGAAUACACCACGGGACUUAUUGGAAGCUAUACAAGUUUGUUCUUGAAUCAUCAAAAUGUUCUUGGAUACCUUAGAUAGACAAUAGCUUAAUCAUAUCCUGAAAGAGUAACAGAACCCCUCACUGUUGAGAGAGUUGCUAGUAUAACAGAGAUUAUAUUUUAGAUUUUGUUUCUGACAGAUAACAUACUUUAAUAUUUUAUCAUGGAAAAACUAUAUUCAAAUUAUUAUUGCACAUUUUUACAGCCCUUUAUUGUUGUGAUUAUCUAUUUGAAAUGUGAAGUAUCCACUUCAGAGCUAUUUUGGAACCCUUCAUGAUACUAAAAGUUUCCUUUCUAGCCACUCAA